rnacentral:rRNA from 1 species
UACGUAGGGUGCGAGCGUUAAUCGGAAUUACUGGGCGUAAAGCGUGCGCAGGCGGCUUUGUAAGUCAGAUGUGAAAUCCCCGGGCUUAACCUGGGAACUGCAUUUGGGACUGCAAGGCUUGAGUACGGCAGAGGGGAGUAGAAUUCCUGGUGUAGCAGUGAAAUGCGUAGAUAUCAGGAGGAAUACCGAUGGCGAAGGCAGCCCCCUGGGUCGAUACUGACGCUCAUGCACGAAAGCGUGGGGAGCAAACAGG